GAUGAACGCUGGCGGCGUGCCUAAUACAUGCAAGUCGAGCGAACAGACGAGGAGCUUGCUCCUCUGACGUUAGCGGCGGACGGGUGAGUAACACGUGGAUAACCUACCUAUAAGACUGGGAUAACUUCGGGAAACCGGAGCUAAUACCGGAUAAUAUAUUGAACCGCAUGGUUCAAUAGUGAAAGACGGUUUUGCUGUCACUUAUAGAUGGAUCCGCGCCGCAUUAGCUAGUUGGUAAGGUAACGGCUUACCAAGGCAACGAUGCGUAGCCGACCUGAGAGGGUGAUCGGCCACACUGGAACUGAGACACGGUCCUGACUCCUACGGGAGGCAGCAGUAGGGAAUCUUCCGCAAAGGGCGAAAGCCUGACGGAGCAACGCCGCGUGAGUGAUGAAGGUCUUCGGAUCGUAAAACUCUGUUAUUAGGGAAGAACAAAUGUGUAAGUAACUAUGCACGUCUUGACGGUACCUAAUCAGAAAGCCACGGCUAACUACGUG
rnacentral:rRNA from 1 species